CGUAGGGGCAAGCGUUAUCCGGAUUCAUUGGGCGUAAAGCGCGCGUAGGCGGUCUGUUAGGUCAGGAGUUAAAUCUGGGGGCUCAACCCUAUCCGCUCCUGAUACCGGCAGGCUUGAGUCUGGUAGGGAAGAUGGAAUUCCAAGUGUAGCGGUGAAAUGCGCAGAUAUUUGGAAGAACACCGGUGGCGAAGGCGGUCUCUGGGCCAUGACUGACGCUGAGGCGCGAAAGCUAGGGGGAGCGAACAGGAUU
rnacentral:rRNA from 1 species